CCAGCCCGACAAGUCAAUGGUCCCGUGCAAACGGGUAAAAAGGGAAUGCCGUAAGCCCCGGCAGGGUGUUCAGGCCCGGGGGCGCAGUCGGCAACUGUACCCGCAACUGUAGGCGGAGAGUGCUGCAUCUGACGCUGUACCAACAGCGACCACUGGCUCCGGCCGGGAAGGGAGAUGCAGUGCGGUGACCCGCAAGUCAGGAGACCUGCCAUUGUCCUUUAACGAUA
rnacentral:ncRNA from 2 species